UUAUUCUAAUAUGCCACAUAUUUUGCAUGUUAAUAUCUAGGAGGAAAUAGCAGCCUACAGGAAAGCAAUUAAUCUGAAGCACUGAAUGCCAAAGGAGUAUUUACACAGCCAUGCCCAGUUCUAGCAUUGAGAACAUUUAAUACUGAAACAGAAGCAGCAAACAAGAAAUAUUCCUGGGUCAUUUGACUAGAAAAAUAAAACUGUCUGAGAGAGGAAAGAAAGUCUGCAAGAAGCUGCAAAUGAGUGUGAUAAAUGACCAGAUCUUCAAAAUCUAUGUGAAGUUGGUGUCUUGAGGAAGAGGGUUGGAUCAAUCACUCUUUGCUUGUGCCAGGCGGUGCCAGCAGAGAAACAAAGAAGGAAUAUUGAGACCUUUGAAACUGGAGAGAAUUGCAGCUGUCUCCACAAUUGAAGAGCACCUGGUGAUUGUGGUAACUGCCAGCAUCUACCUCCUUCCUCUCCCGUUUGUUUCAGUGGUGGAAUGGGUACGCAGUAA